GACGAACGCUGGCGGCGUGCUUAACACAUGCAAGUCGAACGGAAAGGCCCUGCUUUUGUGGGGUGCUCGAGUGGCGAACGGGUGAUUAACACGUGAGUAACCUGCCCUUGACUUUGGUAUAACCUCAGGACACUGGGGCUAAUACCGGCUAGGAGCUCCUGCUGCAUGGUGGGGGUUGGUAAGAUUCGGUGGUUGGGGAUGGAAUCGCGUCUUAUGAGCUUGAUGCUUGGGUAGUGGCUUACCAAGGCAUUGCCGGGUAGCCGGGCUGGUAGGAUGACCUGAUCCGCUGGGACGGAGAUACGGCACAGCCUACUACGGGAGGCAGCAGUGCGGAAUAUUGCAUUAGGGGAGGAAGCCUGAUCUAACAAAGCCGCGUGGGGGAUGACGUCAUUCGGUUUGGGUUCCACUGUUCUCUGUGACGAAACGUGAGUGACGGUAAUGGGUGAAGAAGCUCCGGCUAACUACGUG
rnacentral:rRNA from 1 species